rnacentral:lncRNA from 1 species
CGAAAAUUACAUAAUCAUCGACAUCAUUAUCAUCAUCAAGCCUUAAACAUAGUAGAUAAGAGAUUUAAGUAGUAGGAGAUUAAAAUAUAACAAGGUGCAAAGCUCUCAUUUCUUGGCAGCCAAACCUAAAUAAGCUUGGCGAACCAUUUGAAAGUACACCACCAUCUUCUCCUUGGGCAGCAAGGUUGGCUUGAUGAGAGGCACCUCCACAAAGUUGGCCAUCCAUUUGUGAAUGUGUGGUUGCUUUUGAGGGUCCAAAACCUUGAACCCUCCAACUUCUUCAAUGACUUCCACCCAAUUACAUAUCCAACCUAGCACAAUGUCCACAUACCCAAGACCAUUUUUGCCUCCAAAGAAUAAUGUCUUGUCAUUGAGCUUGGCUGCAGCCUCUCCUUCAAGCACUUCCAUGGCUUCUUUUAGUUCCUUCACUACCUUCUCUUGUUGCUCUCCUUCAGUAACUAAUGCUGUUCUUGUAGCUUCUGUUAUCUAUACAUAACAUCAAUCAAAAUUUAAAAUUUGUAAUUAAGUGUGGGUUCAAGUACACUUCCUAUUUUUUAUUUUUUUUAAAUUGUAGACUUUUAUAUCGAAACACAAAACUAUAAAUUUAUUUUAUAUCUUAAUAAAUCCUUUUAAAAAAUUUUAUAAUUUACAAAAUUUUAAAAUUUGAGGUAGUAAAUUUUUUUUAAUAAUAAUACUUUUAAUAUAUUUAUUUUUUUUAAACCGUUUUCAAAUUGAUGAUUUUUUUCAAUAUAAGCUUUUUAAAGUAUUUGUAUUUUAUACCAAAAGUUAGUGUUAAUUUUUUAUUUUGAUUAGGGAAUGAAAAUGUAUCCAAAUAAUCACUAAAUUACAUCCUUUUAAUCUAUUUAUUUAGUAAAUAGAAAGAUUCUCAUUUUAGAAGUUUAGAACCAAAAAGUAAUUUAAAAAAUAAUUUUGAAAGGGAUAAAAUUUUAAUAUUUAGAAAUUGAAAUAGAAGUCAAAUUUAUAAUUUUUAAGUACAAAAUUUCAUUUAAUAUCUGAUAACUUAAUUUUCACAUAAUCCAAAAAUAAAAUUUUUAUAGGAAUUAAUAUUUUUUUGGUUUUUUGAUAUUAAACUCUGUUUAAAAAUAUAAACUCUUUUAGAAAAUUUAUCUAAAUACAUACAAAAUCUCUUCUUGAGCUUAUAAAUUUUUUCUUUUGUUGUUUUGGUAAACUCCAUCACAAAAAAAUUUUGAAUCAUUAUAAUACUGCUGCUGUUUUUGGACUUUGGACCCCAUCAAAUAGAGAGAGAGAGAGACAGAGAUUCACAAAAAAUUUGAAUCUUUAUAAUACUACUCUGUUUUUGGACUUUGGGUUUGAAUCUUUAUAAUACUGCUGCUGUUUUUGGACUUUGGACCCCGUCAAAGAGAGAGAGAGAGAAAGAGAGAGAGAGGAGAUUCACAAAAAAUUUGAAUCUUUAUAAUACUACUGCUGUUUUUGGACUUUGGGUUUGAAUCUUUAUAAUACUGCUGCUGUUUUUGGACUUUGGACCCCGUCAAAGAGAGAGAGAGAGAGAGAGAGAGAGAGGAAAGAUUCACAAAAAAUUUGAAUCUUUAUGAUACUACUGCUGUUUUUGGACUUUGGACCACAUCAAAUAGAGAGAGAGAGAGAGGAAAAACAUUUUGAUGUACUAAGUGAUAAUUAAAAAUAGUGGGAAUAAUCAUAUGAUGGGGAUCUCGGUUUUGUGCUUACAUAUGGAUCACCAACAUGAAUUAGACAAAAGAAAAAAAAAAUUUUAUGGUAUCUAAAAAUACAUACCUUUUGUUCAAUGAAGUUUGCCCAAAAGCGAGCCUUGGCUCUCUCAUGAGGGUCUUGAGGCAAAAUGGGGUUUUGCUUCCAAUUCUCAUCAAUAUACUCUAUGAUAACAAGUGAUUCAACGAUGGGGUUGCCGUUAUGAAGCAGCACAGGGACUUUCUGGUGAACUGGGUUGGAGGUGAGGAGAAGAGAGCUCUUGUUGGUCAAGUCUUCUUCCACAUACUCAUAUUCUAUGCCUUUGAACUUGAGAGCCCACUCUACUCUUUUCACAAAUGGGCUUACCCAUAUGCCCAACAGCUUCACUUGCUCUUCCUGCAUCGCCCCACUGGCCAUGUUGAUGCCUUUGAUCAGAGCUUGGUGGGUAUGAAGUGGAAGAUAGAUGAUAGGGUAUAAAUAUAGAAGUGGAAGAGAUACGAUAGGUUGUAAAACACAGCUUGGAAAAACCCAAAAUAACCUCCAAGUCAAGUUGUUGAACCGCCUAGUCAAGUUGUCUUUUACAUCAACAACUUGAUAAUUUUUUUUAAUCUUCCAAGGGGGCAUGUGCCCCCUUUGAGCCCUAGCUAAAUCCGCCAGUGAUCUCAACUUACAUAAACUUUCUUUAAGCUUUGAAUAAAGUUAUGGGUUCCUAUAAUUUUCAAGACCAAGUACUCUUAAUCCUUUACACUUAAAGAUUUUUAGUUCUAAGUGACCUUCUUACAUUUUCUCGAGAUCUCACUCUUAACCAUACUCACAACGAUGUUAAUGAACAAGAUUGAUGUCACAAAAAUCAUAGUAUAAGUUUCAGUUGAAAUGGAUUCAAAUUGAAACUAUGAUUGAAGAUAGUGCUCUAAGGCAUACAAGUUUAGCUCAAAUGCAUUUAAAAAAUAUAUAGCCUCCCCUCACUUCUCUCGAACACCAACCUCCUCCCUCUACCCCAAAUUUGUCUAUGAUGACUUGUUUCCAUAGAGAAUCCCUCUCUACCGCAAAUCUCCAGCUCCACUUCCUAAGUAAGGCUUUGUUUAGGGCCACAAGACUGCGAAUACCUAAGCCUCCUUAUCUCAUAUCAGAACAAACCAAACUCCAAUUCACCAAGUGCGGUUUUUUCUCUUACGCACCACCGCCCCAUAAGAAGUCUCUUAGAAUCUUUUCAAGUCUUGCACACACCUUCUGUGUUCUCUAUGUUGUUUCAUAUUUCUCUUCUCUUCUUUUCUUCUGCUUCUUUCCCUUUUUUCCUUAUUUUCUUUUGGCUUUUUGGGGGUAGAUUGAAAGUUAUAAUAAAGGAAGGGGGGAAGCAGGAGGUGGCAUAGUAUAGGUUGGUGGUCUAUUUUGCAUUUGUGGUGGUUUGGUCUCAAUAAUAUUGUGAUGUAAUGUUACUGUGAUGAUUAUUUGUGUUCCUGUCAAAGGUCAUAAGGUGUUUCUGUGUUAUAUGCUGCAUGUGGUCUGGGUAUAUGAAUGAAUUUGUGUCUUGUAGGUUUUUAGGCAUUGAUUUGUUUGUGUCCUCUAAUGAAUCCUGAAAAUUUCAGUUUAUUGGUCAUUUGCCUUUGUUUCAGAAUCUGUUUUUUCCCCCACUAUGUAGUGGGGAUGAACAUCAGUCCCUAAUAUUAACUCUUGUGAGAAACUUAAUGGACGAAUCACAUUCUUUAAUUGAAUUACAGCAAUUAUUUGUUGUAGAUGAAAUCCAUUUUCUCAGAGGUGCUUCUCAUGAAUUUAGAAGCCCAUGUAAUAAAACUCUCAAGUAUUGAGACAUGUGAGAUUACAAAGAUGGUGAUUAGUUAUUAUAAUGUAUUCAAUCUUGGAUUUGGAAUGGUAUAGGAUUUACCCUAUGCUUUAAUAACAAGUUUCCAACGCUAUUAAAACUUAUAGGAUUGUACUUGUCGAAUGCAAUAGUUUCUAUGUUUAUCAGCUUUGAGGAACUUUUCUUUCUUCAAGAAGUGAUAAAUCUCUUCCCUGGAAUUUUAACUAGAGUUAGUGAUGGUCUUGGAUGAUUGUUUGUUUAGCCUUGAAAUUAAAAGAAAGUAGUGGUAAGGAUAAGUCAUGGCUGCUGCUGAAUUGUUAUUAGGCCUUCAUUUCAAAUUGAGGCAAAAAUCCGAAUUUUUUAUGAACAGAUUGGGUAGGAGAGACAAGAUUAUCUUGAUUAAGGCAAGCACUGUUGGAAUUCCAGGUGACCAGUGAUGGAGAGUUGUUCUUGAAAUCAGCUAUAGGAAGAACAGGGAGCAGAGAAGCAAAAAUGUGGCAACAUCUGCCCUAGGAAGAAUAGGGGAGCAGAGAAGCAAAAAUUUGGCAACAUCUGCUGAACCUUCCUUAAUCAUAACAGUUCAUAACCUUCUGGGAUGGUGAUAAUUCCUUCCUCUCAUCAGAUUCUGGAUAAAUAAAUAUAGCCAUGGUACUGCUGUGUCAUAAAAAAAAUUGAAGUAUGCUUGUAUCCUCAAUGUUUCCCAGGAAAAGUUGUCCCUUCCUUCCCAUUAGCAGUUCUAGAGAUACCCUUGCCCAACUAGAGUGUUCCUCCCUGGUUAAGAAAUAUAUGAAAUUAUGAAUCCUCCUUCCCUUUUUUUUUCUUUUCUUAAUACUUUCCAAGAAUAAAACAUAAUCAAAAGUUUUCAACGAGAAACUAACAUUUAAUUAGCAAGAUCCAAUCUCUCAUUUAUUGGCAACCAAAGCUAAACAAGCUUGGUGAAUCAUUUGAAACUUGAAAGUGACCCACCAAUUUCUCCUUGACCACCUUAGGCAACAAGGUUGCCUCGGAGAGAGGCAACUCAUACAAAGUUGGCCAUCCAUUUGUGAAUGUGAGGUUGCUUUUGAGGGUCCAACAACUUGAACCCUCCCCAACUUUUUCAAUGACUACCACCCAACCACACAUCAAACCUAGCACAAUGUCUACGUACACUAUGCCAUUGUUGCCUCCAAAUAAUACUCUCUCUCUCUCCUUCAGUCACUUCCAUGGCUUCUUUUGCUUCCUUCUCUUGUUGCUCCCCUCGCGUAAUCAAUGUUUUUCUUAUGAGUUAUGACCUAUGUUACCUAUACAUAACAUGAACCAAAAUUUAUAAUUAUGUAAUUUUGAGCUAUUUAUUUAUUAAAUGAGAAGAUUUUUAAAACGCGUUUGAUAGUAUUUUUAUUCAAAAUUUUUUUAGUGAGAGUGUUUUCUUUUAAAGUGCUUUUAAAAUAAUCAACUAUGACAUGUAUCUUUAGAAACACUAUAAUUAAUUUUCAAUAUUAUAAAUGUUUUUUUAAUUUUUCUAAAAAUGUUUUCUAAAUUUUCCUAAACACCUAAUUUAAAAAAAAAAAAAAUACUUUUUAAGCCAAAAGUAUUUUUUUUAAACAUUGUCAAAAGGACUCAUAGAAACUUAGACUUCAUUUGUUAGCAGCAAAUGCCAGAAAGGUCAACCACAUGCCGCUUGACAUGGGGUCCGUUCACCCAAUUGUAGAUGUCACGCAACCUUUGACAUUUGACCCCUGACACACCACUCCCCUAUGAGAAAGUUGACGUACUUGAAUGGUUAGAUGAUGGUUUGGAAGCCUUAUAAAAGGAGAAGAAGAAUAUGAUAAAAGACAUAUUUUGUCUAGGGCAAGAAAAAAGGCACGCGGUAAAAGAGAAGGUCACACUUGUUGUCUAGUGUCCUCAAUAGUCAUCGGAUCCUCAUAUCCGGAAAGGUUGUACACCAACAAUAGAUAUGAUAAGUUUUAUAUUAUUUCAAACAAGUCCUAUCCAAUAACGAGGGGUCACAUUUUGUCACUUGUGUUUUUUGUAGACAUCCAAAAAAAAAACAUGUAUGCCAUGUUUGGUUUUCGGAAAAUUUAAAGGAAAAUAUGAGGGAAUGAAAAUAGAGAAGAAAAAUGAAAAAAAAUAAAAAAGUGAAGGAAAAUAAAAAAAUAGAUUUAAAGUUAAUAAAUUAUUUUAAUUUAUAUAUUAUUUUAAAUUUAUUUUAACUCUUUGAUGUAAAGAUUAAAUAACUUAAAAAAUUUUAAAUUUUUAAUUAAUCUUAAUUAUAUUUAAUUUUCUUUGAUUUUUUCAUAAGACAAUAAGGGAAAUUUUAUUUUUUUCUUUCCUUGGCAUUUUUUUUGAGAAGCAAACAUAAUCCUAUGAUUGCUUGAAAUAUGAUAAACAUGUCCUGUGUGAGCUUAAAAUCCAACAUUUUUUUUAAUAACAAAAAUAGCCAAAGAAGCUCUUAUUAAAUUUAAAAAGGAAUUUUUAAUUUUCCAAAAUCUAAACUUGAUGAGUUGUUUUUCUUUUUAUUUUUUUUUUCUUUUUGUCUUUUUCAAAGCUCCACCAUAAUGAUAUAAUUUUGUAUUAAAUUAUAAUUAUUUAUUCAAUGACUCUAUUUUGUGCAACCAUCUCCCUAAAAUGUAUAGUAUAUAUAACCUGUCCACAAGUAACCAAGUAUUGAUUAAUUUUGAAAAAACUUAGUAUUAAAUUAAAAUAAUUAUUAUGUAAAAAUAUUUAGAAAAAUGCAAACAAAUUACAUAGUGGUAGAAAUUUCACAUUUUUACAAAAAGGCAAAACAAAAACACUAAAAAGUAUAACAAAAAUUAGAAAAAUAAUAUAUUUAUUUUAAAAAAUUCUAAAAUAUUAAAAAACUAUUGUGUUAUACCAUGCUUUCAACUAUGAAACUCAUUUAAGGAAGAAGUUUUAUUUCCUCUUAAUUUUUUGCAACUUAAAUUUAAUACAUUUAAUACUAAUUAAUUAAGACUUAAAAAAAGUGCAGUUCACUUCUUAAUACUGUUGUAUGUUUAUUCAUUUUCUAGGAACAACUUCAAACCCUAAACCCUAAUAUGACUCAAGAGCUAGCACUCGAAAACAUAUUUAUCGUGAAACCAAUUAGUCGUAUUAUGCCCUUAGUACAAAAAAAGAAAAAAACAAACAAAAAUCUAAUUAAACACUUAAGAAAAUUCAAAUCACACAAGCAUCAAUCAUUUUAUUAAUAGAUAAAAAACAAAGCAAACUUCGAAAAUUACAUAAUCAUCGGCAUCAUUAUCAUCAUCAAGCCCUAAACAUAGUAGAUAAGAGAUUUAAGUAGUAGGAGAUUAAAAUAUAACAAGGUGCAAAGCUCUCAUUUCUUGGCAUCCAAACCUAAAUGAGCUUGGCGAACCAUUUGAAAGCACACCACCAUCUUCUCCUUGGGCAGCAAGGUUGGCUUGAUGAGAGGCACCUCCACAAAGUUGGCCAUCCAUUUGUGAAUGUGUGGUUGCUUUUGUGGGUCCAAAACCUUGAACCCUCCAACUUCUUCAAUGACUUCCACCCAAUUACAUAUCCAACCUAGCACAAUGUCCAC